rnacentral:misc_RNA from 1 species
GAUGAAGAACGUAGCGAAAUGCGAUAAGUAAUGUGAAUUGCAGAAUUCAGUGAAUCAUCGAAUCUUUGAACGCACAUUGCGCCCGCCAGUAUUCUGGCGGGCAUGCCUGUUCGAGCGUCAUUUCAACCCUCAAGCCCAGCUUGGUGUUGGGGAUCGGCACAGGCGCCCUCGGGCGCCCGCCGUCCCCUAAAUCUAGUGGCGGUCCCGCUGCAGCCUCCUCUGCGUAGUAGUUUUCUCCUCGCAAGGGCAGCUCGGUGGCGACCUCGCCGUAAAACCCCCGACUUCUGAAAGGUUGACCUCGAAUCAGGUAGGAAUACCCGCUGAACUUAAGCAUAUCAAUAAGCGGAGGA